rnacentral:rRNA from 1 species
GUAUCCAACCUGCCGUCUACUCUUGGACAGCCUUCUGAAAGGAAGAUUAAUACAAGAUGGCAUCAUGAGUCCGCAUGUUCACAUGAUUAAAGGUAUUCCGGUAGACGAUGGGGAUGCGUUCCAUUAGAUAGUAGGCGGGGUAACGGCCCACCUAGUCUUCGAUGGAUAGGGGUUCUGAGAGGAAGGUCCCCCACAUUGGAACUGAGACACGGUCCAA